AAAAGGAUGGUAGGGAUGGUUUAGGUAUUUUUAAAAAUAUAGGGACUAAACGGACACUAACUUCAAAAUAUAAGGACUAAACGAGCUUUUACCUUAUUCUAUUGCUUCAUGAAAUGUGUAAAAACCUUUAACAUAUGGAUAAUUGAUCAUCAAAUCAAUUACCUGUUUCCACUGACUAUAAAUUCCUAGUUGUCUACCUCUAACUAAUACGAAAAAUGCAAAAGGUUUACUGUCUAUAUGUUCAUUAAUUUGUCUAAAAUAAUGCAUGAGUGCAUUGGCUACUUUUAGUUUAUCUUGUGGGUUAUUAACACACCACAAAUUAUCUAAAAUGCAUUGUUGGCUGUCUAAUAACUGAAAUUUGCUUUUAAAACUUAAAUUUAUUCCUGAUGGGAACUGUCUAUUGGUAAUGCUAAGGGUUUGAGAUUUUUAACUAUUCGUUUAAGUUUUUGAAUUAAUUUU
rnacentral:lncRNA from 1 species